GGACGGGUGAGUAAUGCCUAGGAAAUUGCCUUGAUGUGGGGGAUAACCAUUGGAAACGAUGGCUAAUACCGCAUAAUGCCUACGGGCCAAAGAGGGGGACCUUCGGNCCUCUCGCGUCAAGAUAUGCCUAGGUGGGAUUAGCUAGUUGGUGAGGUAAUGGCUCACCAAGGCGACGAUCCCUAGCUGGUCUGAGAGGAUGAUCAGCCACACUGGAACUGAGACACGGUCCAGACUCCUACGGGAGGCAGCAGUGGGGAAUAUUGCACAAUGGGCGAAAGCCUGAUGCAGCCAUGCCGCGUGUAUGAAGAAGGCCUUCGGGUUGUAAAGUACUUUCAGUUGUGAGGAAGGGUGUGUAGUUAAUAGCUGCGCAUCUUGACGUUAGCAACAGAAGAAGCACCGGCUAACUCCGUGCCAGCAGCCGCGGUAAUACGGAGGGUGCGAGCGUUAAUCGGAAUUACUGGGCGUAAAGCGCAUGCAGGUGGUUCAUUAAGUCAGAUGUGAAAGCCCGGGGCUCAACCUCGGAACUGCNUUUGAAACUGGUGAACUAGAGUGCUGUAGAGGGGGGUAGAAUUUCAGGUGUAGCGGUGAANUGCGUANAGAUCUGAAGGAAUACCAGUGGCGAAGGCGGCCCCC
rnacentral:rRNA from 1 species